GCGAGUAAUCGGCGCCGGGCGGGCGCUGCCUUGACCUGGAGCGAAACGUUCCGCCGAGAACACGGGCGCGAGGGGAGACGAGCAUUUGAUGGUGUGGCGCAGGAUCGCUUAAGUGAGACAGUGGUGAGCCCGGGAGGACGCGCGGCAGACAGGGGAGAGGCGAGGCCCGCUGGGUCUGCGCCCCAGGGAAGGCGAGGCACGGGAGAGGAAGGACACGGCCGGGUCGGCAGCUGGGCUGGAGAGAAGCUGUCAUUCUCAGAGUAGAAGACAGGCAAAUACAGAGGAUAAAUCUCACAGGGGCAGAGCCUCGUGCUGAAACCAGGACCCUGGUAAGGAUCACUUGACUUGCACUCGAUGAACCAUUGGAACCUCAGGUGAACAAUCUCGAGACUUAAAACUCCAUUAAGGUAAGGGGACCCUCACACUCUUGUGAGCUUGCCCUCCUGGUGUACCAACAUGUUCUCUGGCCAAAUGGACUCAAAUCAGGCUGUAAAUCCCCUUGUGUUUCUUGCAGGCAGAGGGGAAGUGAGCUCAUUUUGAACUGUGCCCAAGGCAGAGCCUGCCCUUGAGGGAAGGCAUUUUACCUGAGCCUGUUGGACAGGAGCUAGGGAAACAUCAAUGCUAACUCCUCUAACUUGACAAAGGGGAAGGUAAACCCCAGCUCUGACACCCUCUGCCUUGUCCCCGCCCUAAGGACAGAAGAAACUUACCUGGAGGUGCUCCGGAAGGUGGGUCUAAGACCUGCACAGGCUCAAUAGGACACUGAUACUGUGUCACAGGAUCGGGGAACACUUCCUUCCCCCAUGUGCUACCACCACACCGACCCUGUGUUUCCGGCCCCUCUAGUGUGAACCAGGCAAGAGCAAGGCUGAGAUGAAACACUGUACUGCUUGCAGUAGAGCGUCCUUGGCUGGGUCUACAGGCAGGAGGCACCAACAGUCUGCAUGGAUGGAGCUGGUGCCUCUGGAGUAGAAAAGGGACAGCUCCCUGCAAAGAGAAGGGAUGGGGCCCACACUAGCCUGACCCUAGUGUGCCCCUGCUGCCAGAGUAGCAAUGACUCCAGCCCCGGCAGCAAGCUCCAAAAGAAACUCAGCAGUAAAUCUUGUCCUAUUCAAGCAGAGAGAAUCUGAAACUGGAGAUAUGGAGCCAAGAACCAGGACUCAGUGGGGUUCACACCAUCUGCUGCCCAUCCCCUGGUGGACUCUGAAGAGCCAAGUGUACGUGUGCACCUGUGCGUGAGAUGAAAUAUGAGACAGCAGUUCUGUAUCACCGCUAAACACAUGAGCUGAGGACUAAUAUUCAGUGGCCAUGACUCGGUGCCAACGCUUUCCUUGACCUUAAUCCAGUUGAUGAAGUUGUUCACGUCGAAAGUAUAUAUUUUGUCUGUAAGACAUAAUAAAAGGGUUUUUACACUUUGA